rnacentral:tRNA from 2 species
GCCCUUGUAGCUCAGUGGUAGAGCGUCAGUCUUGUACUUAGGCACCAAAGCAGUGUCUUUGCCUGCUCCUUUGAUAAUAAACUGAAGGUCAUUCGUUCAAACCGGGUCUGGGGCA